rnacentral:rRNA from 1 species
GAUGAACCGCACAAGACGUGCCUAACACAUGCAAAUCGAAUGAAAAGAAUUAAUUAUUGUUUUCAUGGUGAGCGGGUGAGUAACACAUAAGAAUCAGCUUUUAGAUAAGGCAUAAAAGAGUAAUAUCUUGGUAAUUCCUUAUAUGCGCAGCAGUGCUUAAAAAGGGGAGUCCCGUCUAAAAACGAGCUUAUGCCUGAUUAGCUAGUUGGCGAGUUAAAAGCUCACCAAGGCGAAGAUCAGUAGCUGGCCUGAGAGGGCGGCCAGCCACAUUGGGACUGAGACACGGCCCAAACUCCUACGGGAGGCAGCAGUGGGGAAUCUUCUGCAAUGGGCGCAAGCCUGACAGAGCGGCGUCGUGUGAAGGAAGAAGGCCUGAAAUAGGUUGUAAACUUCUUUUACUGAAUAAUGAAUAAUGACAACGCAGUAAAAAAGUAUCGGCUAACUCCGUGCCAGCAGCCCGCGGUAAUACGGGGGAUGCAAGCGUUAUCCGGAAUCACUGGGCGUAAAGCGUCUGUAGGUGGUUUAGUGUGUUCUUAGUUAAAUUCUGAAGCCUAACUUCAUGAAAAGUAAGAAAACUAUUAGACUUGAGUACGAUAGGGGUAAGAAGGAAUUCUUCGAGAAGUAGUGAAAUGCGAAGAUACGAAGGAGGAGAUCAUAAGCGAAGGCUUCUUACUGGGUCGUAACUGACACUGAGAGACGAAAGCUAGGGGAGCGAAUGGGAUUAGAUACCCCAGUAGUCCUAGCUGUAAACGAUGGAUAUUCNGUGCCGGAAAUUUAUUAGAACAUUUCGGU